UACGUAGGGUGCAAGCGUUAAUCGGAAUUACUGGGCGUAAAGCGUGCGCAGGCGGUUAUGUAAGACAGUUGUGAAAUCCCCGGGCUCAACCUGGGAACUGCAUCUGUGACUGCAUAGCUAGAGUACGGUAGAGGGGGAUGGAAUUCCGCGUGUAGCAGUGAAAUGCGUAGAUAUGCGGAGGAACACCGAUGGCGAAGGCAAUCCCCUGGACCUGUACUGACGCUGAGGCGCGAAAGCGUGGGGAGCAAACAGG
rnacentral:rRNA from 1 species